rnacentral:lncRNA from 1 species
UUACACCUCACUUGCAUCCAUUUAUAAGUGUCAACCUGCUGUUUCAGGUGCUGGUCUUCUCCUGGGAUGGCACAGUGUCCCUGAUGAACACUGCCGCAUCACAGAUUAUUUACUGCUUCUGUACUCCACCUCCUCACGCUGUAGCAUCACCCUGGCAGCCAGUGUUCACAGUGGACAGUGUGAAUUGGUGCCUGCUGCUUCAAGGUGGGUAGCACCUUGGAGUGGUCUUAGUUUCAUGGUCACUGAGGGCUUUCAGCUGUGCACUGAUCCUUGAGAGUUCUUAUUGGAUGACUCCUGAUGUAAUAGCCCACUCACUGUUCUUAUUGCUGUCUAGGAGAUAAGUAGCAGACGGCAGAUGUAUUGGCAGAGAGCAGAGCCAGAGACUGCACCAUCUUCAUUUUUGACUUCAACUGCAGCCCACUGAAGGACGCUUUCCCAAAGGAACCAGAUUUGCCUCUCAAAUCCUUGCAGAACCUGCCAUGGAUUGAGAGAUGUAACAUGUUCUUACAUGAUAGGCAGCAGAGCCUGCUGGGACUCGGGGAGCAGUUGCCUGAGUACUGGAGUCAGCUGCGGGCACAAGCAGCUGCCAUGGACAAGGAGAGACAGAAGGUAAAGGGAGAGAAGAAGCCACAGUCAGCCUUGCAUCCCGAGGGCCAGGCUCUGCGCUAUCACAGUCCUGCAGACCCAUGAUCCUGCACUGAUAUUUUGACAGCAACUCUGUUCAAAUCUAUCCUGCUGCUUUCCAGCCUGGGGCAAUUUGUCAUCCAAAAUAGCUGCUGCCUGCUGCUGCUCAGCUGCAAGGUCUAUGCCCUGCCUCUCUCUUUCCUGACCCUCAGCCUGUCCUAGCAGGGUUCAG